rnacentral:misc_RNA from 1 species
GCAUGAACAGGUGCCAUCUUAAUUCUGGUAGCUCGAAUAGCAGUGGCAUAAUAUUCCCUUGUACUCCAGGAGAAUUCAUCAGGCAGUUCUUUAACUAUAGAAAUGUCAUCCUUCAACACAUUAAUAAAGUGAUCGACAUUGAAUAUAUCCAUGAAUGAACUUGAAUCUUGCCAAACAGGAUUGAUUUCAAAAUGUGGGAUGACAAGUGUUGCAUUCAGUAUUUUAGCAACUGCCACUGCAUCACAUAUCCCCAUUCU